rnacentral:lncRNA from 1 species
GAGUAGUCUAAUGUUGUUCCGGUUUUUGUUCUUGUGAACAUUGACAUCGAUUCGUUCCAAAUUUACACUCUCGGGGCAUAAUAGAACAAUAUAAUUAGGUUUUACGCUUUAUUAGAUAGAAUGAGAAAAAGUACCCGUUGCAAAGUUAUACUGUUAGGGUGCAACUGAGUAGUCUAAUGUUAUUCUGAUUUUUAUUCUUGUGAACGUUGACAUCGAUUCGUUCCAAAUUUACAAUCUCGGGGCAUAAUAGAACAAUAUAAUUAGGUUUUACUCUUUGUUCGAUAGAAUGCGAAAAAGUACUCGUUGUAAAGAUAUACUGUUAGGGCGCAACUGAGUAUUCUAAUGUUGAUCUGGUUUUGGUUCUUAUGAAUGUAGACAUCAAUUCAUUCCAAAUUUGCACUCUCGGGGCAUAAUAGAACAAUAUAAUUAGGUUUUACACUUUGUUCGAUAGAAUGAGAAAAAGUACUCGUUGUAAAGUUAUACUGUUAGGGCGCAACGAAGUAUUCUAAUGUUGUUCCGGUUUUGGUUCUUGUGAACGUUGACAUCGAUUCACUCAAAAUUUACACUCUCGGGGCAUAAUAGAACAAUAUAAUUAGGUUUUACUUUUUGUUCGAUCGAAUGAGAAAAAGCACUCGUUGUAAAGUUAUACNGUUUUUGUUCUUGUGAGCGUUGACAUCGAUUCGUUCCAAAUUUACACUCUCUAGGCAUAAUAGAACAAUAUAAUUAGGUUUUACGCUUUCUUCAAAAAAAUGAGAAAAAUUACUCGUUGCAAAGUUAUACAGUUAGGGCGCAACUGAGUAGUCUAAUGUUAUUCCGGUUUUUGUUCUUAUGAGCGUUGACAUCGAUUCGUUCCAAAUUUACAAUCUCUGGGCAUAAUAGAACAAUAUAAUUAGAUUUUACGCUUUCUUCGAUAAAAUGAGAAAAAGCACUCGUUGCAAAGUUAUUCUGUUAUGGCGCAACUGAGUUGUUUAAUGUUGUUCCGGUUUUUGUUCUUGUGAGCGUUGAUAUCGAUUCGUUCCAAAUUUACACUCUCUGGGCAUCAUAGAACAAUAUAAUUAGGUUUUACGAUUUUUUUUAUAAAAUGAGAAAAAUUACUCGUUGCAAAGUUAUACUGUUAUGGCGCAACUGAAGUGCCUAAUGUUGUUCCAGUUUUUGUUCUUGUGAGCGUUGACAUCGAUUCGUUCCAAAUUUACACUCUCUAGGCAUAAUAGAACAAUAUAAUUAGGCUUUACGCUUUCUUCGAUAAAAUGAGAAAAAGUACUCGUUGCAAAGUUAUACUGUUAGGGCGCAACAGAUUUGUCUAAUGUUGUUCCGGUUUUUGUUCUUAUGAGCGUUGACAUCGAUUCGUUCCAAAUUUACACUCUCUGGGCAUAAUAGAACAAUGUAAUUGGAUUUCACGCUUUUUUCGAUAAAAUGAGAAAAAGCACUUGUUGCAAAGUUAUUCUGUUAUGGCGCAACUGAGUUGUUUAAUGUUGUUCGGAUUUUUGUUCUUGUGAGCGUUGACAUCGAUUCGUUCUAAAUUUACACUCUCGGGGCAUAAUAGAACAAUAUAAUUAGGUUUUACGCUUUCUUCGAUAAAAUAAGAAAAAGCACUCGUUGCAAAGUUAUACUGUUUGGGCGCAACUGAGUAGUCUAAUGUUAUUCCGAUUUUUGUUCUUAUGAACGGUGACAUCGAUUCGUUCCAAAUUUAUAAUCAAGGGGUAAAAUAGAACAAUAUAAUUAGGUUUUACUCUUUGUUCGAUAGAAUGCGAAAAUAUACUCGUUGUAAAGUUAUACUGUUAGAGCACAACUGAGUAUUCUAAUGUUGUUCCGGUUUUGGUUCAUAUGAAUGUUGACCUCAAUUCAUUCCAAAUUUGCACUCUCGAGGCAUAAUAGAACAAUAUAAUUAGGUUUUACUCUUUGUUCGAUAGAAUGAGAAAAAGUAAUCGUUGUAAAGUUAUACUGUUAGGGCGCAACGAAGUAUUCUAUUGUUGUUCCGGUUUAGGUUCUUAUGAACGUUGACAUCAAUUCCUUCCAAAUUUACACUCUCUGGGCAUAAUAGAACAAUAUAAUUAGNNNNNNNNNNNNNNNNNNNNNNNNNUGAGCGUUGACAUCGAUUCGUUCCAAAUUUACACUCUCUGGGCAUAAUAGAACAAUAUAAUUUGGUUUUACGCUUUCUUCGAUAAAAUGAGAAAAAGUAUUCGUUGCAAAGUUCUACUGUUAGGGCGCAACUGAGUAGUCUAAUGUUGUUCCGGUUUUGGUUCUUUUGAACGUUGACA